rnacentral:misc_RNA from 1 species
AAGUCGUAACAAGGUUUCCGUAGGUGAACCUGCGGAAGGAUCAUUAUCGAAAUAGAACCUCUAGGGAGGGGGAGGGGGAGAGUCCUCGCGUCGCUCCUUCGAACCUUUCCGAGGCUUCAUACCUCCCACACCCGUGUGCACCCGCUGUAGGUCCUUAGGGACCUAUGUCUUCUCAGAACUCGCAUGUCUACAGAAUGUCGUCCGUGGCCUCGGCCAUCGUAAACCUAGUACAACUUUCAGCAAUGGAUCUCUUGGCUCUC